ACUCAAAGGAAUUGACGGGGACCCGCACAAGCGGUGGAGCAUGUUGCUUAAUUCGACGCAACGCGAAGAACCUUACCUGGGCUUGAAGUGUGUUUGAAGGUUAUAGAGAUAUAUCCCGCUCUUCGGAGCAGACACAUUAGGUGCUGCAUGGCUGUCGUCAGCUCGUGCCGUGAGGUGUUGGGUUAAGUCCUCUAACGAGCGCAACCCUCGUUCAUAGUUGCCAUCAGGUGAUGCUGGGCACUCUAUGAAGACUGCCGGUGACAAACCGGAGGAAGGUGGGGAUGACGUCAAGUCAUCAUGGCCUUUACGUCCAGGGCUGCAAACGUGCUACAAUGGCUGGUACAAAGGGAAGCAAUGCCGCGAGGUGGAGCAGAUCCCAAAAAACCAGUCUCAGUUCGGAUUGCAGUCUGCAACUCGACUGCAUGAAGUCGGAAUCGCUAGUAAUCGCGGAUCAGAAUGCCGCGGUGAAUACGUUCCCGGGUCUUGUACACACCGCCCGU
rnacentral:rRNA from 1 species